GAUGAACGCUGGCGGCGUGCCUAAUACAUGCAAGUCGAGCGAACAGACGAGGAGCUUGCUCCUCUGACGUUAGCGGCGGACGGGUGAGUAACACGUGGAUAACCUACCUAUAAGACUGGGAUAACUUCGGGAAACCGGAGCUAAUACCGGAUAACAUGUUGAACCGCAUGGUUCAACAGUGAAAGACGGUCUCGCUGUCACUUAUAGAUGGAUCCGCGCCGCAUUAGCUAGUUGGUAAGGUAACGGCUUACCAAGGCAACGAUGCGUAGCCGACCUGAGAGGGUGAUCGGCCACACUGGAACUGAGACACGGUCCAGACUCCUACGGGAGGCAGCAGUAGGGAAUCUUCCGCAAUGGGCGAAAGCCUGACGGAGCAACGCCGCGUGAGUGAAGAAGGUCUUCGGAUCGUAAAACUCUGUUAUUAGGGAAGAACAAAUGUGUAAGUAACUAUGCACGUCUUGACGGUACCUAAUCAGAAAGCCACGGCUAACUACGU
rnacentral:rRNA from 1 species